rnacentral:rRNA from 1 species
GAUGAACGCUGGCGGCAGGCUUAACACAUGCAAGUCGAACGCAUCCUUCGGGGUGAGUGGCAGACGGGUGAGUAACGCGUGGGAACGUGCCCUUCAGUUCGGGAUAACCCAGGGAAACUUGGGCUAAUACCGGAUACGUGCGAGAGCAGAAAGCUUUAUCGCUGAAGGAUCGGCCCGCGUCUGAUUAGCUAGUUGGUGGGGUAAUGGCCCACCAAGGCGACAAUCAGUAGCUGGUCUGAGAGGAUGAUCAGCCACAUGGGGACUGAGACACGGCCCAAACUCCUACGGGAGGCAGCAGUGGGGAAUAUUGGACAAUGGGCGCAAGCCUGAUCCAGCCAUGCCGCGUGAGUGAUGAAGGCCUUAGGGUUGUAAAGCUCUUUCGUCCGGGACGAUAAUGACGGUACCGGAAGAAGAAGCCCCGGCUAACUUCGUGCCAGCAGCCGCCGUAA